UUCUUGCCACAUUCUACUUCUGCUACUUGCUGUCGUUAGUGUUUCUGUACAGCUGCUACUGAUAGCAAUAUUUAGCCUGCUGAUGCGUGUAUUAAUAGCCCUAAUGCUAACGAAUGUUACAGAUAGGCAACCUCAUCCUUACACUCAGCUGUUAGGUAUCAGACUUACUGAAAAUUAGCGAUUCUUAUAGCCUACAAGUUACUGUCAGCUCGCACUUGUACCAUAGUGUUACUGAUCUUAAAGUAGCAUUUACAGUAUCACUGUUGCAUUAGUGCAGAUAGCUCUGUCAGUAGUUGGCCUACUGUUUUUACUACAGCCAGUUCAAGUAGCCAACCGCAUCUAAAAAUUAUUAGAAUCAAUAAUAAGAAUAGUAAUAGGCUACUAUAGAUCUUACUGUUAUUGUUAUACUUAUUAGUACUAUUUUUACUGCAACUGCUGCUAACGUGAAGUACUUAUGUUUUAGAUCUGCAGUGAGCUGGCUAAAUAAUUUGGCCAUAUGAACAUGCACAUAUUUUCUACAGUAUGAUUUUCAGAAUCUCACACUGUAACUGUUCUGGAUAUACUAACUUUUUCAGAAGAAAAAAAAAAGUAACAGCUCACACCUGGGAGGCUAUAAAAAAGAAGAUAACUGACACCAUUAUCUUGAAUGUUCCCCCUGAUCAGAAUGUAAACAAACAAUUGUUCUUGGUGAACACUGUAACAUUGAUAUAAAAGUCCAGAUUGUCUCAGAUGAUACUUAAGCCACAUCCCUACCUCAUGGACAGGGGGUCAUUUGUAGCCCUUGCCAGCAGAGGGAGGCAGUGAUCUAUUGUGUUUGAGCAGUUGAUUGAGUGGAUUCUUACCAUUGAAUUUUACAGUUAGAAUACAAUUGUCCCAGGAUAGUUUGCUCAUGUAAUUGCACACAUGCCUUCACGUCCAGUUGAUCCCCGAGUCGGAACUUGAGUGAGAGGGUUACAGUCUGUGGAUUUUAAAAGCUCUUUACUGUUCUCAUAGACGAGGCAGCACUGACCACACAGCCAGGUUAGUGAUUUUGACCUUCAUGUUGAUUGAAGCAAAACAUUAUUUGUUGGCACAGAUGAUCCCUUCUUAGUUUGUUGCUGAGAACAUAGGUUUAAUUUACGUGUCUUAAGAGUCCUACAAUGUCAACACACGAGCACAUUGGCAUCUGUAAGCAUAUUUCAUUUAGUCAUUUUGUUCAGUGUUGUUGCACUACGUACUCAGAAUAUAACAACACACAACUGUGACAUGAAGGUUUUUUCUCCUGGAAGUCACAAUUUUUAUGGUCCAAGCAUUAGGUCUUGGCAUCUCAAACUGUUGACAAACCUCUGCAACUUUAGCUUGUUGUAUAUACUAGUUAAGAAGUUAAGAUUCUGAUUAUUUCAAAGCCCUAUAAAAUUUAGCCCUUGAGAAACAUUUUGUUUUUAGCUGAAAAUAUGGAACCAUUUACACGAAUAUAAUAUGGUAGACUGUCUGGAGCCCAACCAUUUUUGUAAUUUUUUAUUUAUUUAUUUUUUUUUCCAUUUUCAAGGGCCAGUAAUGAAAAACAUGUUGUCUGCUUGCCUUUAAAUUAUAUAUAUCUGUUGUACACUGUUUUGACUGUACCCCUAUCAGAUUUCGUGGAUUGUUUUGUUUGCUGCUAUUGUUUAUACAUGUGCAUACACUUCUCUUGUAAACAUUUUGUUUAACUAUGUGGAGUCAGUCCCACGAAUUUUUAAAAGCGUUCAUGUGCUUGUGCCAUUGAGGUGGACAACUAGAUUAAAUGAGCUUCACUCCAUCUGUACAGCUGUAUCGAUCUCAUCUCAUCUCCCAUGCCAUUUUUGUGGCACUAAUUUGUUUUGUUUCGGUAGGUGAUAUCUUGUAAUGAUGACAUCGUUCUUACCAGCACCUAAAAAGGUCAAACUGGCUAGGUUAUUUUUCAAAACUGGGGAAAAAUCCAUCAAUGUGCAUAAUGCCAGACCUUUUGAAACUGCUGAGAAAAAUCAGAGUUGUGGGCACUGAUCCAGAGGUCUGGAGCCAGACUGUAUUGGUAAAGACAUCCUUCCUUCAGUGAUGCCGACCAUGCUGAGUGUGAUAAGCAUCAAGGUCAUUUACCUGCACAUUGGCACAUUUCUAGGAUGUUAAAAACCUCAGUUGUAAGGCCUGAAGUUGUAUGUUCUGCUGCAGGAUUUACAUAUCUGUGCUCUCAGGCUUACACAAAAAAAUCAUAUUAAAGUCUGCUCAGAGACAAACUGCUUCCUUGAUAAACAUACGCCAAUCAGCCAUAACGUUAUGAAAAGUGACAGGUGAAGUGAAUAACAUUCAUCAUCUCAUUACAAUGGCACCUGGCAGUGGGUGGUUUAUAUUAAGCAGCAAGUGAAUUGAAGCUGAUGUGUCGGAUCAAGCGACUUUGACGAGGACCAGAUGGCGAUGGCUAAAUGACUGGGUCAGAGCGUCUCAAAUACUGCAGCUUUAUGUGGGAUGUUCCUGGUCUGGAGUAGUCAGGACCUAACAAGAGUGGGCCAAGGAAGGAAAACUGGCGAACUGUUGACAGGCUCAUGGACGGCCAAGGCUCACUGAUGCAGAGCUGGGUGUGGUCUUCAGAUCAUCUCCUGCCAACUGACCUGCACAGCUGAGCCAGAUCCACUAAUGAACUCCACCCUCUUCCUGGUGUAUUUAAAGACUGGUUAAUUCAUCCACUCUCCAUUAGAUUGUACAGUCCUACUACUGUGUCAGGCCAAACUUACUGUAGUGCUCUUGUUUUUGUGCUUGCAAAACUGUCAUUUAAAUGUAGUGGAGUAAAAAGUACAAUAUUAGGCUCUGUUGAGUUGCAUGAAAUGGAAACACUCAAGAACAAGGACCUUGAAUGUGUACUUAAAAUUUAAUUAAUUACAUUUCACUACUCUCUGUAAAUGUAAAUCUGUCUUUGUACACUCUCAGAUCUGCUUUUUGUUUGGUGAAGGACUUUUUAAUUGAACCCCUGUGAGUAAGAUGUACAGUAGCAGGUCUUCUUUUAAUGUGAGGCUGAUUUCAUGUUCUGCUCUGUUCUCUGUGUGUACUUUUUUUUUUCAGUUUUCUAGUUUUUUGUACUAGCUUAA